CCUACGGGAGGCAGCAGUGGGGGAUAUUGGGCAAUGGGCGCAAGCCUGACCCAGCAACGCCGCGUGAAGGAAGAAGGCUUUCGGGUUGUAAACUUCUUUUCUGAGGGACGAAGAAAGUACCGGUACCUCAGGAGUAAGCCACGGUUAACUACGGGCCAGCAGCCGCGGUAAUACGUAGGUGGCAAGCGUUAUCCGGAUUUAUUGGGUGAAAAGGGCGGGUAGGCGGGAAAGCAAGUCAGAUGUGAAAACUCAGGGCUCAACCCUGAGCCUGCAUUUGAAACUGUUGUUCUUGAGUGCUGGAGAGGCAAUCGGAAUUCCGUGUGUAGCGGUGAAAUGCGUAGAUAUACGGAGGAACACCAGUGGCGAAGGCGGAUUGCUGGACGGUAACUGACGCUGAGGCGCGAAAGCGUGGGGAGCAAACAGGAUUAGAUACCCGAGUAGUC
rnacentral:rRNA from 1 species